CGCGGCCUAUCAGCUUGUUGGUGAGGUAACGGCUCACCAAGGCAUCGACGGGUAGCUGGUCUGAGAGGAUGAUCAGCCACACUGGGACUGAGACACGGCCCAGACUCCUACGGGAGGCAGCAGUGGGGAAUAUUGCACAAUGGGCGAAAGCUUGAUGCAGCAACGCCGCGUGCGGGAUGAAGGCCCUAGGGUUGUAAACCGCUUUCAGCAGGGAAGAAGCCGCAAGGUGACGGUACCUGCAGAAGAAGCACCGGCUAACUACGUGCCAGCAGCCGCGGUAAUACGUAGGGUGCAUGCGUUGUCCGGAAUUAUUGGGCGUAAAGAGCUCGUAGGCGGUUUGUCACGUCUGCUGUGAAAAUCCAAGGCUCAACCUUGGACUUGCAGUGGGUACGGGCAGGCUAGAGUGCGGUAGGGGAGAUGGGAAUUCCUGGUGUAGCGGUGGAAUGCGCAGAUAUCAGGAGGAACACCAAUGGCGAAGGCACAUCUCUGGGCCGUAACUGACGCUGAGGAGCGAAAGCGUGGGGAGCGAACAGGAUUAGAUACCCUGGUAGUCCACGCCGUAAACGGUGGGUGCUAGCUGUGGGCCACAUUCCACGUGGUCCGUGACGAAGUUAACACAUUAAGCACCCCGCCUGGGGAGUACGG
rnacentral:rRNA from 1 species